CACGUGACACUCAUCGAGAAAUAUGGCGUGAAGUUGGUACGAAGAUGGUUGUUGUGAGUUACGAAAGAGUAGACGAUUUCUCGCGGGGAAGGCACUUCCCAGUCGUCCGGAAAAAGUACCGCAUUGCUAUUUUUCCUUGAUCUAGCAAGCGGACGGUAGUGCGAUGGUAUACGACAUCAAAUGGAUCAUACCGAAGCUUCGAAAUCCAAGCAGUCUUUGGAACAUUGCGAGUAGCAUAACCUUCGUAGCAGUAGGGAUUUUCUCUAAAAUUAUUAUAGGAAAGAUCAGGUACGCAUUAACGCCCUACAAAGGGCACAGGAAAUCAGUCAUUAGCCUUCGCUGGUCUUUCAAAUGGCUGAACAGAACAACAGUGUACAACAAGCAUAUCAUCAAUCGAGCGUUAGACGAACGACCGAAAAAUGUACCGUUAAUCACAGUGUCAAAUCAUCACAGUUGCUUCGAUGAUCCUGGUAUAUGGGCGAGCCUGGACCUGAGGUAUCUGAUGGAUCGACGUAAGAUCAGGUGGUCGCUUGCGGCCCACGACAUUUGUUUCACAAACUCCUGGCAUUCAUACUUCUUUAUGCUGGGCAAAUGCAUUCCCGUGAUCAGAGGUGGAGGUGUGUAUCAAGAAGCCAUGGAUUUCUGCAUCGAAAAGUUGGCCGCUGGUGAAUGGAUUCACGUCUUCCCCGAGGGGAAAGUAAACAUGUUUAAAGAAACUAUGAGAUUAAAGUGGGGUAUUGGAAGGUUAAUAUUUGAAUCGCCUGUUCCGCCGCUAGUAGUGCCAAUCUAUCAUCUUGGCAUGGACGAUGUUUUACCGAAUGAACCACCGUAUAGAUUGAAAAUACGCAAAAAGGUCACUAUGAAUUAUGGUGAUCCAAUAGAUUUUAGCGAAUUAAUAGAAGAAUUGCGUAUGUCAAAAGUGUCUGAAGAGGAAGCAAGGAAAGCGAUUACGGAUCGUAUUCAAACAGAACUUUUGAAAUUGAAAACGAUAACGGAAGAACUUCACAAAAAUUCAUGAUAAUCAAACGGGAGACAUUCUAAUCAUUAUCCCGAUUAGCUUUAAUAUACCAAAAAAAAAAAAAAAAAAAAAAUAUAUAUAUAUAUAAAAAUAAAAUUUUAAUUUCAAUGUGACAAUAGAUAUUAAUCAAAGAUGUUCAUUUGUACGACAUGUAACUAAUAUAUAUAUAGUUGUGUAAUGUAAUGCACGUAUCAGGCAGUAGUGAUUUAGUUUUGUUCCUUUUUUUAUUUUUUUUUCAUUUUUUUAAAGAGGAUAUUAUGUUCGUGAUAUUCUUGAGAAAAUUUUAAUUUAAAUACGAGUCGUGUUGACUUAAAAAUGCCAUAUAUCGCGAACGUUCAAUUACAUUAUCACAUACAUAGUAAUGUAUAUAUGUUCCUGCAUACACAUAAAAGGAAUCAUCGUAACGUAUGUAAAAACAGCUAUUGUUUAUAGAACAAAUUUUAAUAUAAUCGCAAAUUACGAAAGCUUCCAUAAAACAUAACACUGAAACUGUGCCACUGUACUGCAUAUCAUCGUUCAUUUUUAUGCGUUAAUUUUUUAAUAUUUUCGAGAUUCGUAAUUUGUGAUGAUAGAAUGCAAGCGUGACACAAUCUUUGUAUAAUUCAUUAAAUUUACUCUGCAUAUACUAAAAACUUUUGUAUAAAUGAUUCGAAUAUAAUUGUAAUCAAAGAAAAGAAAAGAAAAAAAAAUGAACAAAAUAAUAUAAGUAAGUCAGAUUUGAUUGAAACCCAACUUAAAUUUGUUGGAUCUUAAAACGCUUAAUUGUCGAACACAAGACGAAAUUACCGUGCUUGUGAUCAAUUAUUGUACAUUUAAAUAACUAUAUGCACACAAGUAUAUUUUUGAUAUAUUGUAAGAAUUUACAGUAACUAUAUUAAAAACAUUGAAUGAUAAAAAUACUACAAAGAUAUACAUAUUUUGUAUUUAUUAAAUUUUUUUAUAAGUAGUAAAAUAUUUUCACAAAAAGAAAUCUAUUUUUUGCAAUCUGUUGUACUAUAUGCGAGUAUUAUUUAAAGUGUAAUGUGACUGUUUUACGCCAUUGUUUCAUUUUAAUAAAUUAUUUUUCACGCUA